rnacentral:misc_RNA from 1 species
UUUGCUUUCCCAUUGUUGCUUGCCUUUGGCAAUGCAGGGAGUGGUCCGUCCGGUAGCGUUGAGUCUUGCUAACGUGAGGGCGUGUGAGCGGUGAUCGGGAUGUCUGUGCUGUCUGGCUCCAUGGCCAUGGUCAUCGAACUGUCAGCACGCAACCCUUCUCAGGUUCGUUCGCCUUGUGUUGUCGCGGCCCCGGCGUUCACUUUUGGUUCUUGUGUUGCCUACCCGUUUAGCGGUAUUCAUGUGCAUCUUGAGACCCGUUCCAUCCAGACCCCUUCUAGGGGCUGCUGGGGGAUUCGAAAGUGAUGUGUGUUUUGCGUUAGCUGUGCGUUGUAACGGCUCGCGUGCUCACAUGUGUCUAUUUUCCCCUUGGAUGCGGUGCAUGCGGCGAACGUGGGCUGACGAUUGUGCCCCGUUGAGUCCCUUUGAUUUAUCGGUUGCCUUGAAUGACACUUUGCCGUAGUGCUGGUCUUGCUUUACCAUUCUUGGGGGCAACACUUGCACUUCGAGCAGAGUCGUUGAUG